GACAGAGGGUGCAAACGUUGUUCGGAAUUACUGGGCGUAAAGCGCGUGUAGGCGGCUGCGCAAGUCGGAUGUGAAAUCCCAUGGCUCAACCAUGGAAGUGCACCCGAAACUGCGUAGCUAGAGUCUCGGAGAGGAAGGCGGAAUGCUUGGUGUAGAGGUGAAAUUCGUAGAUAUCAAGCGGAACACCGGUGGACGGAAGGCGGCCU
rnacentral:rRNA from 1 species